rnacentral:lncRNA from 1 species
UUCUGAUUGGCUGUCUUGUAUUUCUAAUAAGUUGUUUAAUGGUUGGCAUGUUGAAUCAUAUAAAUAAUGGGCUGGUUUAGAUGGAUCCUAACCGGAUGAUUAUGAAUUACUUUACUUCUAUUUAAUAUUCUAUUAAUUAAUAUUAUAUUAAAUUCGACAAAAAGAGAAAAUCUGAAAUCGCGGAUUUACGCGAAAUCCGGGCUAUUUUCACUCAACCGCUACAAGAUCAACAAUUCCAUAAG